UACGUAGGGGGCGAGCGUUGUCCGGAAUCAUUGGGCGUAAAGGGUACGCAGGCGGUUUAGCAAGUCCGAUGUAAAAUCUAAAGGCUCAACCUGUAACAGCAUUGGAAACUGUUCAUCUUGAGUUAAGGAGAGGUAAGUGGAAUUCCUAGUGUAGCGGUGGGAUGCGUAGAUAUUAGGAGGAAUACCAGUGGCGAAGGCGACUUACUGGACUUGAACUGACGCUGAGGCACGAAAGCAUGGGUAGCAAACAGG
rnacentral:rRNA from 1 species